AAAUGGCAACAGAUUGUUACCAUUAUCGGUCCGGAAAGCGUUAUCCUCCAUCCAGGACUUGGAGGUUGAUUAUGUGACCGCUCUGGCAAAAGCACUUUGACAACUGUAAGAAGAGAGGGCAUGCGCACACAGGGAACUGUGGGGGCUGAAGUCCUUCACAAGAGCACCAGAAGGCUGGCCAUGGAGGCUAGUGGCGACUGAAAUCUAGUACUUGCUUUGCUCACCAAGCUAAUGGACCUUCAUGGCUGGGCUGCAUCUGCCUGGAGGAAAGGGCACCUUGUCCAAAUUUUCACAAAGGGACUAUGUGAACAGGAGACAGCACCAACGAAGAUUGUUGGAAUCCCUACUUUAAAUACAUGGGUGUCAAUAAUACCUCAAUAAAGCUACAAAAACAAAAAAUAAAGAUGUAGAAACUCA